GAUGAACGCUGGCGGCGUGCCUAAUACAUGCAAGUCGAGCGAACAGACGAGGAGCUUGCUCCUCUGACGUUAGCGGCGGACGGGUGAGUAACACGUGGAUAACCUACCUAUAAGACUGGGAUAACUUCGGGAAACCGGAGCUAAUACCGGAUAAUAUAUUGAACCGCAUGGUUCAAUAGUGAAAGACGGUUUUGCUGUCACUUAUAGAUGGAUCCGCGCCGCAUUAGCUAGUUGGUAAGGUAACGGCUUACCAAGGCAACGAUGCGUAGCCGACCUGAGAGGGUGAUCGGCCACACUGGAACUGAGACACGGUCCAGACUCCUACGGGAGGCAGCAGUAGGGAAUCUUCCGCAAUGGGCGAAAGACUGACGGAGCAACGCCGCGUGAGUGAUGAAGGUCUUCGGAUCGUAAAACUCUGUUAUUAGGGAAGAACAAAUGUGUAAGUAACUAUGCACGUCUUGACGGUACCUAAUCAGAAAGCCACGGCUAACUACGUG
rnacentral:rRNA from 1 species